UCCUCUCUUUAGUUGAAUCCGAGGUUUCAUGUCAUAACUCCCACCCGUGCCUCUGUAUUCCUUUUUGUGAGUAAGAUAGCUGGGCAUUCAAAGAGCACUUGCCUAAGUUGGGAUGAUACCUUGAGCUUGUAUUUAAUUUGUUCAAAAAUUUGGUUGGAAUAGACCUUAUUCUUGACAAACGGAUUAAGAUAUUAAUAAGGGAGGACUUGCUAUUUUUGAAGUAAUAAUCAACAGGAAGGGAUCGAUGAAUGGCAUUUGGCUCCUGGAAGGGGGAGAAAAACCUAUACUUCUAAUGGCUUAAAUACACC
rnacentral:lncRNA from 1 species